GCUCGUAUAGCUCAGUUGGUAGAGCAAUGGUUUUGUAAACCAUAGGUCGUCCGUUCGAAUCGGUCUACGAGCUCCA
rnacentral:tRNA from 1 species